GACGAACGCUGGCGGCGUGCUUAACACAUGCAAGUCGAACGAUGAAGAAGAGAAACGCGAACUUCGGUUCAAAUUUCACUUCGGAUUAGUGGCAGACGGGUGAGUAACGCGUGAGCAACCUACCUCUUACAAAGGGAUAGCCUCGGGAAACCGUGAUUAAUACCAUAUGACACAUUCAUAAGGCAUCUUAAGAAUGUUAAAGCUACGGCGGUAAGAGAUGGGCUCGCGUCCCAUUAGCUAGUUGGUGAGGUAACGGCCCACCAAGGCGACGAUGGGUAACCGGCCUGAGAGGGUGAACGGUCACAUUGGAACUGAGACACGGUCCAAACUCCUACGGGAGGCAGCAGUGGUGAAUAUUGCACAAUGGAGGGAACUCUGAUGCAGCGACGCCGCGUGAGCGAUGAAGGAAUUCGUUUCGUAAAGCUCUGUUCUAUGGGAAGAAAAGGACUGUACCAUAGGAGAAAGCCCCGGCUAAAUACGUG
rnacentral:rRNA from 1 species